GGGGAAUCUUCCGCAAUGGACGAAAGUCUGACGGAGCAACGCCGCGUGAGUGAUGACGGCCUUCGGGUUGUAAAGCUCUGUUAAUCGGGACGAAAGGCCUUCUUGCGAAUAGUUAGAAGGAUUGACGGUACCGGAAUAGAAAGCCACGGCUAACUACGUGCCAGCAGCCGCGGUAAUACGUAGGUGGCAAGCGUUGUCCGGAAUUAUUGGGCGUAAAGCGCGCGCAGGCGGAUUGGUCAGUCUGUCUUAAAAGUUCGGGGCUUAACCCCGUGAUGGGAUGGAAACUGCCAAUCUAGAGUAUCGGAGAGGAAAGUGGAAUUCCUAGUGUAGCGGUGAAAUGCGUAGAUAUUAGGAAGAACACCAGUGGCGAAGGCGACUUUCUGGACGAAAACUGACGCUGAGGCGCGAAAGCCAGGGGAGCGAACGGGACUAGAUACCCCGGUAGUCCUGGCCGUAAACGAUGGGUACUAGGUGUAGGAGGUAUCGACCCCUUCUGUGCCGGAGUUAACGCAAUAAGUACCCCGCCUGGGGAGUACGACCGCAAGGUUG
rnacentral:rRNA from 1 species